rnacentral:tRNA from 1 species
GAAGGUAUAGCUCAGUGGUAGAGUGUGUGCCUAGCGUGCACGAGGUCCUGAGUUCAAUCCCCAGUACGUUCA